UACGGGGGGAGCAAGCGUUGUUCGGAUUUACUGGGCGUAAAGGGCGCGUAGGCGGCCAUCGCAAGUCAAUUGUGAAAUCUCCGGGCUUAACUCGGAAAGGUCACUGAUACUGCGGAGCUAGAGUGCAGGAAGGGGCAACUGGAAUUCUCGGUGUAGCGGUGAAAUGCGUAGAUAUCGAGAGGAACACCUGCGGCGAAGGCGGGUUGCUGGGCUGACACUGACGCUGAGGCGCGAAAGCUAGGGGAGCGAACGGG
rnacentral:rRNA from 1 species